AAGUCGUAACAAGGUAUCCGUAGGUGAACCUGCGGAUGGAUCAUUAUCACGUAUCUCACGUAUAAACCAUUGUGAACCGUACCCACCUUGGAGAUAAUAUGGACAGUUUGUUGUUGUGAACGCUUUAAAGGAACUGGUUGUGAUUUAGUUCCGAGUUCGUAACAACCUCAAAAGACUUCGGUUUUUUGUACCUAUUUUCUCUGAGUGUAUUCAAUUUAAUCACUUUUUAUUUUACCUUUCAAACCUUUACUAUUAAACUUUUGAACUGAUUUAUUUCUUACUCUUAACGGAGAAGAAAUUUCAUUACGAAACAUAAGAACAACUCUUAGCAACGGAUAUCUUGGUUCUCAUAACGAUGAAGAACGCAGC
rnacentral:misc_RNA from 1 species